rnacentral:piRNA from 1 species
UAGCAUCUCUGCUAGCAAUGGUUCAGCUU